rnacentral:rRNA from 1 species
CAAACACUUUGAAGAGAGAGUUAAAGAGGACGUGAAACCGAGUAAUCUGGUGGAAACGGAUAGAGUCGGCGUCUCUCAAGUAUUCGACUGACAUUAUUUUUAUGUUGAAUGACUCUCUGAGCUCCAGAUUGGGACAGAAGAACAGCAUAAUUUUUUGUGAUGCAUUUACUUGAUUGGUGCUUGGGGAUGUUUGAGGCAGAUUUGUUUCCGUCGUUUUGAGGCCAGCUUGCUGGUACCCAAACGGUGUUAGCAUUUUUUGUCUUGGGCAUUUGAGUAUGGCUCACGGGCAUUUAUUGGACAGAUCUGAGUGUAAGUUACGGUCGCAUGCGACACGUGCUUUUCAAUUAGUUCGGUCCAGUUAAUGCUCUCGUACUCGUUCCCCAUGUAAAAGCCGGUCAUCUAUCCGACCCGUCUUGAAACACGGACCAAGGAGUUUAUCGUGUGCGCAAGUUUUUGGGUGUUAAAAACUUAAAAGCGAAAUGAAAGUAAAUGACUCUUUAGAGUCUGAUGUGCGAUCUUGUAAAAAAGUGCAGCAUGGCCCCAUUCUAACUGUUUACAGUAGGGUGGCGGAAGAGCUACAAGUACGCGGUGAGGGCCCGAAAGAUGGUGAACUAUUCCUGAGCAGGACGAAGCCAGAGGAAACUCUGGUGGAAGUCCGAAGCGGUUCUGACGUGCAAAUCGAUCGUCUGACUUGGGUA